UGAGGAAUAUUGGGCAAUGGGCGAAAGCCUGACCCAGCCACGCCGCGUGAGUGAUGAAGGCCUUCGGGUCGUAAAGCUCUGUGGGGAGGGACGGGAAUGCGCAGUAGGAAAUGACUGCGUCUUGACGGUACCUCCUUAGCAAGCACCGGCUAACUCUGUGCCAGCAGCCGCGGUAAUACAGAGGGUGCGAACGUUGCUCGGAUUUACUGGGCGUAAAGCGCGUGUAGGCGGACUCGCAAGUCGGUUGUGAAAUCCCUGGGCUCAACGUAGGAACUGCAUCCGAAACUGCUUGUCUUGAGUGAUGGAGAGGGUGGCGGAAUUCCCGGUGUAGAGGUGAAAUUCGUAGAUAUCGGGAGUAACACCAGUGGCGAAGGCGGCCACCUGGACAUCUACUGACGCUGAGACGCGAAAGCGUGGGGAGCAAACAGGAUUAGAUACCCCCGUAGUCC
rnacentral:rRNA from 1 species